GGCCUUUUGUCAUUUAUUUCAUUUUGCUGUAAUUUUGGUACACUUUCUUCCAUCUUUGUAUCACGUGUUUCUGCAAAGCACAUACAUACAUUUUUGUAGAUCAACGACCUAGGAGAUAGAUAUAGGUUGAGGGCACGUGGUAUGCGGAAACAGGAUGGGUGUGACGCAAAGGGUGCAGGUUGAGGGUGGUACAUUGCGUCAUUGGAUGAUUGUGAUGCAAAUAAUUUAAUUGUGUAUCGAAAAGGAUAUGUGAAAGUAUGAUUUUCAAGUUCACGGCAACACGUUGCUAAG